GACGAACGCUGGCGGCGUGCUUAACACAUGCCAGUCGAACGAAGAGCGAUGGAAGCUUGCUUCUAUCAAUCUUAGUGGCGAACGGGUGAGUAACGCGUAAUCAACCUGCCCUUCAGAGGGGGACAACAGUUGGAAACGACUGCUAAUACCGCAUACGAUCUAAUCUCGGCAUCGAGGAUAGAUGAAAGGUGGCCUCUACAUGUAAGCUAUCACUGAAGGAGGGGAUUGCGUCUGAUUAGCUAGUUGGAGGGGUAACGGCCCACCAAGGCGAUGAUCAGUAGCCGGUCUGAGAGGAUGAACGGCCACAUUGGGACUGAGACACGGCCCAGACUCCUACGGGAGGCAGCAGUGGGGAAUCUUCCGCAAUGGACGAAAGUCUGACGGAGCAACGCCGCGGGAGUGAUGACGGCCUUCGGGUUGUAAAGCUCUGUUAAUCGGGACGAAAGGCCUUCUUGCGAAUAGUGAGAAGGAUUGACGGUACCGGAAGAGAAAGCCACGGCUAACUACGUG
rnacentral:rRNA from 1 species